GUCUUCUAGACACAAAAAUUAGAAGUCCGACCUGCCCAGUGAAAAUUUAAACGGCCGCGGUAGCCUGACCGUGCUAAGGUAGCGCAAUCACUUGCCUUUUAAUUGGAGGCUAGUAUGAAUGGUCAGACAAGGGCUUUGCUGUCUCAAAGAAAUCUACAGAAAUUGACCUUUAGGUGAAGAGGCCUAAAUAUAAGUAAAAGACGAGAAGACCCUAUCGAGCUUUAAUCUUCAUUACUCUAAAAAAGUAAAAUAGAUUUUUGUUGGGGCAACAAAGGAGAAACAAAAAUCUCCUUUUUCUCUCUAUGGUGACAAAUUAUAAAAUGAAAACAAAUUAAUAAUUCUAUCUAGACUAAUAAUAAUAGAUAAUAGCUACCGUAGGGAUAACAGACUAAUUUCUCUUGAGAGUUCUAAUCGACAGAGAAGCUUGGCACCUCGAUGUUGGCUUAGGAAACCAGUUGCGAAGCAGAAAUUCAACUUUGUAGGCUUGUUCAGCCUUUAAUUUCCUA
rnacentral:rRNA from 1 species